CCUACGGGUGGCAGCAGUGAGGAAUAUUGGUCAAUGGACGAGAGUCUGAACCAGCCAAGUAGCGUGAAGGAUGACUGCCCUAUGGGUUGUAAACUUCUUUUAUAUGGGAAUAAAAUGUUCCACGUGUGGGAUUUUGUAUGUACCAUAUGAAUAAGGAUCGGCUAACUCCGUGCCAGCAGCCGCGGUAAUACGGAGGAUCCGAGCGUUAUCCGGAUUUAUUGGGUUUAAAGGGUGCGCAGGCGGAGGUGCAAGUCAGCGGUCAAAUUGCGGGGCUCAACCCCGUACUGCCGUUGAAACUGCAUCCCUUGAGUGCGCGAGAAGUAUGCGGAAUGCGUGGUGUAGCGGUGAAAUGCAUAGAUAUCACGCAGAACUCCGAUUGCGAAGGCAGCAUACCGGCGCGCAACUGACGCUCAUGCACGAAAGCGUGGGUAUCGAACAGGAUUAGAUACCCCUGUAGUC
rnacentral:rRNA from 1 species